AUCCGGAUGGCAUUUUCUUGUCAAGUCUUUUAAUCUCUCCCAGGCCUCAUAAAGGGUUUCACCAUCUUGCUAUCUAAAGGUUUGCACCUCGACUCUCAGUCU